GGAGAAAAGCAGGGGAUCGAAAGACCUUGCGCUUUUGGAGCGGCCGAUGUCUGAUUAGCUAGUUGGUGGGGUAAUGGCCUACCAAGGCGACGAUCAGUUGUUGGUCUGAGAGGACGACCAGCCACACUGGGACUGAGACACGGCCCAGACUCCUACGGGAGGCAGCAGUGGGGAAUUUUGGACAAUGGGCGCAAGCCUGAUCCAGCAAUGCCGCGUGAGUGAAGAAGGCCUUCGGGUUGUAAAGCUCUUUCAGUCGAGAAGAAAAGGCUGCAGUGAAUAACUGUAGUUUAUGACGGUAUCGACAGAAGAAGCACCGGCUAACUACGUGCCAGCAGCCGCGGUAAUACGUAGGGUGCGAGCGUUAAUCGGAAUUACUGGGCGUAAAGGGUGCGCAGGCGGUUUUGUAAGUCAGAUGUGAAAUCCCCGGGCUUAACCUGGGAAUUGCGUUGAAACUACAAG
rnacentral:rRNA from 1 species